ACCAUAGAUUUGAGACCAGAAAAGCUUUGUCAUUCUUUUUCUUCCGAGACGCUGACCGAGAAGGUUGCUCUAGCGUCUAGCCAUCAUUGCUGGGUACUUUCUUUCCUGACUUAGUUCUUCAUAAAAAAAGGUUAGACGUUGGUGGAGAUUUUUCUCGAUGUGCAGUGCCAAGUCAACAGAAUACCUCUGUGAUGUAUCAUGUUGUGAGAUGAAAAUGGAAAGAAAACAGGAAAUCUGAAAUGAUUUCUUGGUCAAUUUGGCGUUGAAGCUGAUAAUGGUAGUGAGGUCUGGUGUGCUGUGGUGUGGCAGUCAUUUUCUGAUUGAGAGAUGCAAUGAUAUGGAGCUUCUGCAGGCUUGCAGUUCAACAUCAGACUUCAAUUUAUCAUGUUGGUGUCCAUGCAGUGUUGAGCUGUUGUGCAAAAUAGUUGGUGUUGUUUAAUGGCUUGCAAUUUGUUGGUGUGUUCUACUACCUGUUCCCAUGUUGAGUUCAAUCGUACGUCGCCGUUCCAGACUUAACCUAUUGGUGAAGCUAAGAAGAGACUGCUGUACUUCAAGAGAUUGAUAAAUUAUUUAGCUUAGACAAUUUGCAAAUGCAUAUCUUUUCUCCCUUUUCACAAGUAAACAAAUUUUCCUCUGGCUAGUUGUGUGAAUUGCAAUGAGACUAUUUCUGUGAAAAAGUUCAGCCAAACCACGAAAAUUUUAUGAUCCGACUAACCCCACUGUUUCCGUAACAAGUCUAAACCUUUUCGCUCAAUGAUAUUACCUCUUUAAAAAGAAAUAAAUAAUUGAAACCUAAA